CUACGGAGGGAGCAAGCGUUAUUCGGAAUCACUGGGCGUAAAGGACGCGUAGGCGGGUUUGUAAGUCAGGUGUGAAAUCCUACAGCUCAACUGUAGAACUGCACUUGAAACUACAGACCUAGAGUAUGGAAGGGGCAGAUGGAAUUAGUGGUGUAGGGGUAAAAUCCGUAGAUAUCACUAGGAAUACCGAAAGCGAAGGCGAUCUACUGGGACAUUACUGACGCUGAGGCGUGAAAGCGUGGGGAGCAAACAGGAUUAGAAACCCCUGUAGUCC
rnacentral:rRNA from 1 species